UCAACUGAAACAUUUUUCGAACGUUUUCCCCUUUUCCAUCGAACGCUUCGAUCAAAAGCAGCGACUCCGGCUUCAACUGAAACGAUUCGAACGUUUUGUACCACGUGACCCAUCCGAGUGGUUGGAUUCGAACGAUUGGGAAGAUUCGAUUGAUUUUUGUUUAUCUUCCAGCAAUGGCGUACAAAGUGUAGCGGCCAGAAAUCGCUAUCGCCGAUGACAAAUAUUUUGCUAUAUUCGCAUCCGCAGUUGAUUUGCAGAUGCUGUCCACUUGCACCUUCUCAACGCUGGAAUCUUCCAAGGGGGGCAGGAGAAUGGAAUUCUUCCAAAAGUUUCAGUUCCCAAGAAAUUUGAAAAUGACGGACGGAAUGCAACUGAUCAAACAAAGGUGCAAGUACCUACUGGGUUCCCUACUUGAACAGAAGAGGUCUCUGACAAUAACUGCAAAUAAUUGGAGUUGUUGAAAGAUGGUCAGGUUGUACCUACGAUUAUUACAUUUGAUCUCCAAGUAUGAGUGCCAAAGAUACUGAUGAUGGCAGCAAAGGAAACUAAUAAUUCCGCAUUUGUGAAAGCAAAUAAUGUUAGAAAUUGUGUAGCACAAAUCUGCAAUA